GCGGGUGGCAGAGUGGUUGAAUGCACCGGUCUUGAAAACCGGCAUAGGUGUAAGCCUAUCGGGGGUUCGAAUCCCUCCCCGC
rnacentral:tRNA from 1 species